rnacentral:rRNA from 1 species
UACGGGGGGGCAAGCGUUGUUCGGAAUUACUGGGCGUAAAGGGCGCGUAGGCGGCCUGCUAAGUCACACGUGAAAUCCCUCGGCUCAACCGGGGAACUGCGUCCGAGACUGGCAGGCUCGAAUCCGGGAGAGGGAUGUGGAAUUCCAGGUGUAGCGGUGAAAUGCGUAGAUAUCUGGAGGAACAUCGGUGGCGAAGGCGGCAUCCUGGACCGGUAUUGACGCUGAGGCGCGAAAGCCAGGGGAGCAAAGCAGG